rnacentral:rRNA from 1 species
CCAUUGGCAAGUCGACGAUGAUCCGGUGCUUGCACCGGGGAUUAGUGGCGAACGGGUGAGUAACACGUGAGUAACCUGCCCUUAACUCUGGGAUAAGCCUGGGAAACUGGGUCUAAUACCGGAUAUGACUCCUCAUCGCAUGGUGGGGGGUGGAAAGCUUUAUUGUGGUUUUGGAUGGACUCGCGGCCUAUCAGCUUGUUGGUGAGGUAAUGGCUCACCAAGGCGACGACGGGUAGCCGGCCUGAGAGGGUGACCGGCCACACUGGGACUGAGACACGGCCCAGACUCCUACGGGAGGCAGCAGUGGGGAAUAUUGCACAAUGGGCGAAAGCCUGAUGCAGCGACGCCGCGUGAGGGAUGACGGCCUUCGGGUUGUAAACCUCUUUCAGUAGGGAAGAAGCGAAAGUGACGGUACCUGCAGAAGAAGCGCCGGCUAACUACGUGCCAGCAGCCGCGGUAAUACGUAGGGCGCAAGCGUUAUCCGGAAUUAUUGGGCGUAAAGAGCUCGUAGGCGGUUUGUCGCGUCUGCCGUGAAAGUCCGGGGCUCAACUCCGGAUCUGCGGUGGGUACGGGCAGACUAGAGUGAUGUAGGGGAGACUGGAAUUCCUGGUGUAGCGGUGAAAUGCGCAGAUAUCAGGAGGAACACCGAUGGCGAAGGCAGGUCUCUGGGCAUUAACUGACGCUGAGGAGCGAAAGCAUGGGGAGCGAACAGGAUUAGAUACCCUGGUAGUCCAUGCCGUAAACGUUGGGCACUAGGUGUGGGGGGACAUUCCACGUUUUCCGCGCCGUAGCUAACGCAUUAAGUGCCCCGCCUGGGGAGUACGGCCGCAAGGCUAAAACUCAA